rnacentral:rRNA from 1 species
AUUGAACGCUGGCGGCAGGCCUAACACAUGCAAGUCGAGCGAGCGGCGGACGGGUGAGUAAUGUCUGGGCAACUGCCUGAUGGCGGGGGAUAACUACUGGAAACGGUAGCUAAUACCGCAUACCAUCAGAUGUGCCCAGAUGGGAUUAGCUAGUAGGUGGGGUAAUGGCGCACCUAGGCUACGAUCCCUAUCUGGUCUGAGAGGAGGACCAGCCACACUGGAACUGCGACACGGUCCAGACUCCUACGGGAGGCAGCAGUGGGGAAUAUUGCACAAUGGGCGAAAGCCUGAUGCAGCCAUGCCGCGUGUAUGAAGAAGGCCUUCGGGGUGUAAAGUACUGUCAGCGGGGGGGCGUUACCCGCAGAAGAAGCACCGGCUAACUCCGUGCCAGCAGCCGCGGUAAUAC